rnacentral:misc_RNA from 1 species
AACCAUAGAAACCUGCGGAGUACCUGCGGAAGGAUCAUUACAGAGUUGCAAAACUCCCACAAACCAUCGCGAAUCUUACCCGUACGGUUGCCUCGGCGCUGGCGGUCCGGAAGGCCCUCGGGCCCCCGGACCCUCGGGUCCCCCGCUCGCGGGGGGCUGCCCGCCGGAGUGCCGAAACCAAACUCUUGAUAUUUUAUGUCUCUCUGAGUAUACUUUUAAAUAAGUCAAAACUUUUAGCAA